rnacentral:rRNA from 1 species
CGAACGGGUGAGUAACGCGUGAGGAACCUGCCUCAAAGAGGGGGACAACAGUUGGAAAUGACUGCUAAUACCGCAUAAGCCCACGGGUCGGCAUCGACCAGAGGGAAAAGGAGCAAUCCGCUUUGAGAUGGCCUCGCGUCCGAUUAGCUAGUUGGUGAGGUAAUGGCCCACCAAGGCAACGAUCGGUAGCCGGACUGAGAGGUUGAACGGCCACAUUGGGACUGAGACACGGCCCAGACUCCUACGGGAGGCAGCAUG